rnacentral:sRNA from 1 species
UAUCUGCCAAUUGAGUUUAUUGGGCGAUAAUCAAGUUUUUGCACACACACAGUUCCUGCUCUAGAUAAUAACAAGAUGUUUUAUUGGGCCCGCGGAUGCAAUGGUUAUAUAUAUGUAUAUAUUUUUAAAUGUCAAGCCAGCCGACUGGAGAAGCAAAAUACGCGAAAUGCGUAUUGUAAAACGCCCUACACCCUUUAAAAAAAAAGAAAAAAGAAACACAUCUACGAACAAUCGACGACCAAAUGCAGAAAAUUGUAUGCAACGCAAUAUGAUAUACGCAUAUGCCCUACAUAUAGACCGUAUAUGGGCUAUAUAUAUAUGGGCACGAUAUGAUCCAUUUGCUUUAAGUUGUAUUAGUUAAGAAUUUCAUAAUAUUUAUUUGUAAAAUAAAUUUAAAGUCGAAAGGAAAACUAUAAGCAAAAGCAAA